UAUGUGUUUUCAGGUGGAAACAGAAUGUGUGAGGCUUACUACUGCUCCUCUUCUCUCAGAGUUCCUUGCACAACUUGACCAACACACUGCCCAGCUCAUCAAAGAAAGGAGGCUCUGCAGAAUGAAACUGUUGAAGACCCGAACGUCCUCUUCAAAGAACACCUGAAUUGGAGUUUGGGAUUACUGAUAUGAAUGUUUAAGUGCUGCUCAACCCCAACAGUUC
rnacentral:lncRNA from 15 species